rnacentral:lncRNA from 1 species
UAGUUAGUUUUUAUAUUAGUUUAACUUAUACUUAAAAAAUCAAUUUGUAAGGUGAAGGAUGACGUACAUUCUUUAUGAAUCAAUUUCAGAUUUUAUCUAUAUUUUAUAUAGGUCUUGAGUUUUACCUAAUCUACUUUGAAUAACAUCUAAAUAGGUCACUAUGUGGCAAUUUUUGUGAUAGGUGACCAUGAUUUUGUACGAGGUUCUAAGGUUAUAUCCACCGGUAGUUAUGAUUCCUCGG